AUUGAACGCUGGCGGAAUGCUUUACACAUGCAAGUCGAACGGCAGCACGGGGGCAGCCCUGGUGGCGAGUGGCGAACGGGUGAGUAAUACAUCGGAACGUGCCCGGUCGUGGGGGAUAACGUAGCGAAAGUUACGCUAAUACCGCAUACGAUCUGAGGAUGAAAGCGGGGGACCUUCGGGCCUCGCGCGAUCGGAGCGGCCGAUGUCAGAUUAGGUAGUUGGUGGGGUAAAGGCCUACCAAGCCGACGAUCUGUAGCUGGUCUGAGAGGACGACCAGCCACACUGGGACUGCGACACGGCCCAGACUCCUCCGGGAGGCAGCAGUGGGGAAUUUUGGACAAUGGGCGCAAGCCUGAUCCAGCCAUUCCGCGUGCAGGACGAAGGCCUUCGGGUUGUAAACUGCUUUUGUACGGAACGAAAAGGCUCUGGCUAAUACCUGGGGCUCAUGACGGUACCGUAAGAAUAAGCACCGGCUAACUACGUG
rnacentral:rRNA from 1 species